rnacentral:rRNA from 1 species
UAGGGAAUCUUCCGCAAUGGACGCAAGUCUGACGGAGCAACGCCGCGUGAGUGAAGAAGGAUUUCGGUUCGUAAAACUCUGUUGUUAGAGAAGAACAGCGCAUAGAGUAACUGUUAUGCGUGUGACGGUAUCUAACCAGAAAGCCACGGCUAACUACGUGCCAGCAGCCGCGGUAAUACGUAGGUGGCAAGCGUUGUCCGGAUUUAUUGGGCGUAAAGCGAGCGCAGGCGGUCAAUUAAGUCUGAUGUGAAAGCCCCCGGCUCAACCGGGGAGGGUCAUUGGAAACUGGUUGACUUGAGUGCAGAAGAGGAGAGUGGAAUUCCAUGUGUAGCGGUGAAAUGAGUAGAUAUAUGGAGGAACACCAGUGGAGAAGGCGACUCUCUGGUCUGUAACUGACGCGGAGGCUCGAAAGCGUGGGUAGCAAACAGG